GUGUUUCCAGCCCCAAACCAGCAGGUGACCCCCAAAGAAGUCUAUAUUGGAAUCCUUGUUUUUAGCUCGAUUUUGUUCAUUAUUUUGGUUGUCAUUAUUAUCCAAAAAUAUUACAUCAGCAAAAAGAUGACAUGGACACUAAGCAAGGUUUUGUGGACCCGUCCUCAAAUUCAAGCUUUUCAACUGCAAGAUCCGGUAGAAGACCAAGUCUACAUCGUGAAGGAUAAUGUUUAUAACCUUGAUUAAGACUCAGCGGUAUUCUCUGCCUGGAAUCACCAUGUCCAUCACCUUUUCACCCUCAGGACCAUCUCUCGGCAUCAGUUUUAUCUGUCAUUCCCACGGAUCAGUGCUGUUGGAUAAGGGAACUCUUGGAGUCAAAGCUGUAUAGUCAUGUUCAUUGUUAAUGCAGCCCAGUCUUUCCAUACACUGUGGAGAUCGUGGUCAGACAUGAACCCCUCAGGGUUUUGUGUUCUUUGGACUCUAUGUUUCUUCUACCCAUCAAAGAAAGUAAUAAGGGGUGGCAUAGCAAAUGAA